rnacentral:rRNA from 1 species
UACGUAGGUGGCAAGCGUUGUCCGGAUUUACUGGGCGUAAAGAGCGCGCAGGCGGUCGAUCAAGUCGCGUGUGAAAGCCCCCGGCUCAACUGGGGAGGGUCACGCGAUACUGAUCGACUCGAAGGCAGGAGAGGGAUGUGGAAUUCCAGGUGUAGCGGUGAAAUGCGUAGAUAUCUGGAGGAACACCGGUGGCGAAGGCGGCAUCCUGGACCGACAUUGACGCUGAGGCGCGAAAGCCAGGGGAGCAAACGGG